UGGAAAUCCGGCGCCAGAGCCGGUCGGAGCACCAAGGAGAGCGAUGCUGCAGGGCGGGACUUCCGGCUUAUGGGCCAAACGGAAUGGCCGGAGGUCAUGAACUCACGUGUGUCUUGGCUUAAGGGGGCGUAUCCAAGAUGGUUGAGUGCGUGAAACAGUAUUGCUGGGAGUCAGUACGUAGGUUGGUCUCGGAGAUGAGGAGACAGGAUUUCUAGAAACCAAGGCUGAAGAAGCUGGAACGCCUCCGGAUCUGCAUUAUUGCUAUCCUGACUCUGUCAAGGGAAUGGGUACCCACCGCCAUCUCCAGGGAAGGCAUCGACAGCACAGUUGUGUCCAGAACACAAGUUUGAGCCUUUCCACGCCUCAAUUUCUGAUACAAUUUUCCUACCCCAGGACGAGAGAAGAGGAACUUCCAGAAUAAUGGGAUGACUGGGAUCCGUGUGACAGUCGGCAGUAAAAGUUACAGGGCCGAAGCUGCUGGUUUUGCUGGUGUGUAUAGAACAAUCAGAAAUGCCCAGUGAGCAAAGCAGUACUUUACAUCUCUUGGAGAAGUGUUUUAAAUUCAGAAUUUUGGAAUUCAUCAAAAGCAACAAGGGCACAGUUCUCUGUGUCUUUCCAAACCUGCAUCGUUUUCUGGAGCCACACAGCAGGCCACCAUUACUUAGAAUUGGAAUGCAAGAAUACGGCUCAGUGCUUAGCUGUGGGUGUCUACUUUUGCUUCCAUCAACUGCUGGAUGACGGCUCUAUGAUGGCAUUUAAGGUUCCUGCAAGUUAUUUGGUAUCUGAUUAGUAUUACAAGCUGAAAUGGUGACAAAUAGUCUAAACAUCAUUCUUGAAGCAAAGCUGUCUGCCAAUUACUGUGAAGAUGGAUUCUGGUUCAGAGGUGCUUGCCAGCAAGACUCCCAAAAGUCUCUGUACCUAUACUUAAAGGACCUGGAACUGAGCCUCUUCAUGGGCAGGGGAAGGCCUGGUGGACACUCAAGACCAAGAAUGACCAAGAAUGUUGAGGCUUAAAGGAAGGCAGUACCUCUUCAGACCCUGGAAUAACCUGACCUGCUGUUCGGGUCAAGUGGCGCCCGAACCAGGGACCUGAAGCACGGUAAACUGUGGGAUAGCUGACAGAUACCCCGGGACAAAGAGGAUCCUGCUGACUGCAAAACUCGUGCACUUCAUCAGGAGCAGGCAGUACCUCUUCAGACCCUGGAAUAACUGGACCUGCUGGACAGGUCAAGGAGUGACCUUGUCUGACUGUCUAAAGGUGACUCUACCUGUGGUCCUAUAGAAUGACCCUGACUAUCUGUCUGAAAGUGACUCCACCUUCAGGUCUUAGGAGAGACCAUGUCUGACUGAAUGGGACUACACCUGCAGUCCUAAGGAGUGACCCUUACUGACUGUCAGAAGUGAACUCCACCUGCAGUCCUAAGGAGUAACCCUAACUAACUGUCUGAAUGUUAUCAUCCUACAGUCCUAAGGAGUGACCCUGAGUGACAGUCUAAAGGGGGCUACACCUUUAGACUUAGGAGGUACUCUGUCUGACUAUCAGAAGGGGACUCCACCUGCACUACUAAGGAGUGAUCCUGACUGACUGUCUCAGGGUAUCCUCCUCCAUUCGUAAGGAGUGAUCCUUACUGACUUGUGAAGGGCACUACACCUUCAGGACUUAGGAGUGACCCUGACUGACUUUCAAAAGUGGUCUCGACCUACUGUCCUAAGGAGUAAUCUUGACUGACUGUCUGAAAGGGACUCUACCUGUGGUCCUAAGGAAUGAUCCUGCCUGAAUGUCUGAGGAGUGACGUUGUCUGACUGUCAGAAGAGGACUCCACCUGCAGGUCUAAUGAGUGACCCUGACUGACUGUUUGAAGGGUAUCCUCCUACAGUCCUAAAGAGAGACCCUGAACGACAGUCGGAAGGUGACUACACCUUCAGACUUAGGAGUGACACUGUCUGACUGUCAGAAGGGGACUUCACCUUCAGUCCUAAGGAGUGACCCUGUCUGUCGGAAAGUGACUCUACCUGUGGUCCUAUGGAGUGACCCUAACUGACUGUAUGAAGGGGACACCACGUCCAGGUUUAGGAGAGACCCUGUCUGACUGUUUGAAGGGGAAAACACCUGCAGUCCUAAGGAGUAACCCUAACUGACUGUAGAAGGAUAUCCUCCUACAGUCCUAUGGAGUGACCCUGAGUGACAGUCUGAAGGAGACUACACCUUCAGACUUAGGAGUGACCCAGUAUGACGGUCAGAUAUGGUCUCCACCUGCAGUCCUAAGGAGUGACUAUAGGGUAUCCUCCUAUAGUCCUAAGCAGUGACCCUGAGUGACAGUCUCAAUCCACUGAAUCUUCAGACUUAGGAUUGACCCUGUCUGACUCCACCUACAGUCCUAAGGAAUUAAGCUAAAUUACUGUCUGAAGUGUAUCCUCAUACAGUCCUAAGGAGUAACCCUGAGUGACAGUCAGACUGUGUAGUCUGAAGGGGACUACACCUUCAGACUUAGGAGUGACCCUGUGUGACAGUCAGAAAGGGACUCCACCUGCAGUCCUAAGGAGUGAACCUCACUGAUGUCUGAAGGGGACUCCACCUGCAGUCCUAAGGAGUGAACCUCACUGAUGUCUGAAGGGGACUCCACCUGCAGUCCUAAGGAGUGACCCUGACUGAUUGUCUGAAGGGGAAUUCACCUUCAGGACUUAGGAGUGACCUUUUCUGACUGUCUGAAGGUGACUCUACCGGUGGUCCUAUGGAGUGACCCUGACUGACUGUCAGAGGGGGACUCCACCUGCAAUCCUAGGGAGUAAACCUAACUGUCUGAAUGGUAUCCUCUACAGUCCUAAGGUGUGAACCUGAUUGACAAUCUGAAGGUGACUACACCAUCAGAUUUAGAGGUGACCCUGUCUGACUGUAAGAAGAGGAAUCCACCUAUGUCCUAAGGAGUGACCCUGACUAACUGUGCGAAGGGGACUCCACCUGCAGACCUAAGGAGUGACCCUGAGUGACUAUCUGAUUGGUAUCCUCCUACAAUCCUAAGGAGUGACCCUUACUGCCUGUGUGAAGGGGACUCCACCUUCAGGACAUAGGAGUGACCCUGACUGACUCUCAGAAGGGGACUACACCUGCAGUCCUAGGGAGUAAUCCAACAUGACUGUCAGAAGUGUAUCCUCCAACAGACCUAAGGAGUGACACUGAGUGACAGUCUGAAGGAGAAUCCACCUAAGUCCUAAGGACAGACCCUGACUGACUGUCUGCAGGGGACUCCACCUGCAGUCCUAAGGAGUAACCCUAACUAACUCUCUGUAGGGUAUCAUCCUACAGUCCAAAGCAGUAACCCUAGUGACAGUGUGAGGCUACUGUACCUUCAGACGUAGGAGUGACCAGUUUUGACUGUCCAAGGGGGACUCCACCUGCAGUCUUAAAGAGUGACCUUGAAUGACUGUCAGAAUAGGACUCCAACUGCAGUCCUAAAAAAUAACCCUAACUAACUGUCUGAAGGGUAUCCCCCUACAUUCCUAAGGAGUGACUGUGAGUGACAGUUUGAAGAGGACUAUACCUAAUAUUUAGGAGUGACCCUGUCUGACAAUCUGAAGGGGACUCCACCUCCAUUCCUAAGGAGUGACCCUGACUGAUGUCUGAAGGGAACUCUACCUCCAUUCCUGAGGAGUGUCCCUACUGAAGUCUGAAGGGGACUCCACCUGCUGUCCUAAGGAGUGACCCUGACUGAUUGUCUGAAGGUGAAUACACCUUCCGUACUUAGGAGUGACUUUUCUGACUGUCUGAAGGGGACUCUACCUGUGGUCUGGUAGUGUGACCCUGACUGACUUUCGGAAGGGGACUCCACCUGCAGUCCUAAUAACUAACCAUAACUAACUUUCUGAAGGGUAUCCUCCUCUAGUCCUAAGGUGUGACCCUGAGUGACAAUCUGAAGGGGACUACACCUUCAAACUUAGGAGUGACCCUGUCUGACUGUCAGGCGAGGAAUCCAUCCUAGUCCA